rnacentral:tRNA from 1 species
GCCAGUGUAGCUUAACAUAAAGCAUAGCACUGAAGAUGCUAAGAUGAGCCCUAGAAAGUUCCACAGGCA